ACCCAAAUAAAUAUGGCAUCCCAAAAUAAUUUGGCAUGGAGUUCCUUCCGAGAGAAGGACUUUACCUCUUCUUUCAUGUCCACAUUAUCCCAAGGCAUCAUCACAUGGCACACAAAAUUAAGGGACAUGUGGAUCAUGUAAGAAAAUUAAGAUAAAUAAAAGAGAAGGACCCCUUUCCUUAACUUCUAAAAUAAAUAUGAUGCCUAUUUGUUUUUCUCAUGUGGUUUUGACUAAAGGGAUUAAAAAUAGUUUUCCUCUGGGA
rnacentral:lncRNA from 1 species